rnacentral:rRNA from 1 species
UGGGGAAUAUUGCACAAUGGGCGGAAGCCUGAUGCAGCGACGCCGCGUGAGGGAUGACGGCCUUCGGGUUGUAAACCUCUUUCAGUAGGGACGAAGCGUAAGUGACGGUACCUGCAGAAGAAGCACCGGCUAACUACGUGCCAGCAGCCGCGGUAAUACGUAGGGUGCGAGCGUUGUCCGGAAUUACUGGGCGUAAAGAGCUCGUAGGCGGUUUGUCACGUCGUCUGUGAAAUCCUAGGGCUUAACCCUGGACGUGCAGGCGAUACGGGCUGACUUGAGUACUACAGGGGAGUCUGGAAUUUCUGGUGUAGCGGUGGAAUGCACAGAUAUCAGGAAGAACACCGAUGGCGAAGGCAGGUCUCUGGGUAGUAACUGACGCUGAGGAGCGAAAGCAUGGGUAGCGAACAGG